rnacentral:rRNA from 1 species
UAGGGGUUCUGAGAGGAAGGUCCCCCACAUUGGUACUGAGACACGGACCAAACUCCUACGGGAGGCAGCAGUGAGGAAUAUUGGUCAAUGGACGAGAGUCUGAACCAGCCAAGUCGCGUGAAGGAAGACGGAUCUAUGGUUUGUAAACUUCUUUAGUGCGGGAACAAAGCGGCGUCGUGACGCCGGAUGAGUGUACCGCAAGAAUAAGCAUCGGCUAACUCCGUGCCAGCAGCCGCGGUAAUACGGAGGAUGCGAGCGUCAUCCGGAUUUAUUGGGUUUAAAGGGAGCGCAGGCUGCGAGGCAAGUCAGCGGUCAAAUGUCGGGGCUCAACCCCGGCCUGCCGUUGAAACUGACCUGCUAGAGUUCGAGUGAGGUAUGCGGAAUGCGUUGUGUAGCGGUGAAAUGCAUAGAUAUGACGCAGAACUCCGAUUGCGAAGGCAGCAUACCAACUCGCGACUGACGCUGAGGCUCGAAAGCGUGGGUAUCGAACAGGAUUAGAUACCCUGGUAGUCCACGCAGUAAACGAUGAAUACUAACUGUUCGGAGGGCGACCUCUGAGUGGUAAAGCGAAAGCGUUAAGUAUUCCACCUGGGGAGUACGCCGGCAACGGUGAAACUCAAAGGAAUUGACGGGGGCCCGCACAAGCGGAGGAACAUGUGGUUUAAUUCGAUGAUACGCGAGGAACCUUACCCGGGCUCAAACGUCGGGCGAAUCAUCCUGAAAGGGGUGAGCCAGCAAUGGCGGCCGACGAGGUGCUGCAUGGUUGUCGUCAGCUCGUGCCGUGAGGUGUCGGCUUAAGUGCCAUAACGAGCGCAACCCCCGCGUCCAGUUGCCAGCGAUUGAAGUCGGGCACUCUGGACGGACUGCCGGCGCAAGCCGCGAGGAAGGCGGGGAUGACGUCAAAUCAGCACGGCCCUUACGUCCGGGGCGACACACGUGUUACAAUGGCGUGGAACAGAGGGAAGCCACCUGGCGACAGGGAGCGGAACCCGAAAACACGUCUCAGUUCGGAUUGGAGUCUGCAACUCGACUCCAUGAAGCUGGAUUCGCUAGUAAUCGCGCAUCAGCCAUGGCGCGGUGAAUACGUUCCCGGGCCUUGUACACACCGCCCGUCAAGCCAUGGGAGCCGGGAGUGCCUGAAGGCCGUAACCGCAAGGAGCGGUCAAGGGUAAGACUGGUGACUGGGGCUAAGUCGUAACAAGGUA